rnacentral:rRNA from 1 species
GAUCCUGGCUUAGGACGAACGCUGGCGGCGUGCUUAACACAUGCAAGUCGAACGGAGAUUACUAAUGAAGCUUGCGAUUAGUAAACUUAGUGGCGGACGGGUGAGUAACGCGUGGGCAACCUACCCAUAAGCGGGGGAUAACAGCUGGAAACGGCUGCUAAUACCGCAUAACCUGUACCGGACGGAUGUCUGGUGUAGCAAAGAUGGCCUCUGAAUGAAAGCUAUCACUUAUGGAUGGGCCCGCGUCUGAUUAGCUAGUUGGUAGGGUAAAGGCCUACCAAGGCGACGAUCAGUAGCCGGCCUGAGAGGGUGGACGGCCACACUGGGACUGAGACACGGCCCAGACUCCUACGGGAGGCAGCAGUGGGGAAUAUUGCGCAAUGGGGGAAACCCUGACGCAGCGACGCCGCCGUGAGCGAAGAAGGCCUUAGGGUCGUAAAGCUCUGUUAUAAGGGACGAAGGUUACCAUGGUUAAUACCCGUGGUAAGUGACGGUACCUUAUGAGUAAGCCCCGGCUAACUACGUGCCAGCCGCAGC